rnacentral:rRNA from 1 species
ACCCAACCACAAACUAAUUGUUCGCCAAACAACUACGAGUAGUAACUUAAAACUUAAAAGACUUGACGGUACUUCAUCACAGCCUAGAGGAGCCUGUCUAAUAACCGACAACCCACGAUUAACCCAACCCCUUCUCGCCAACAGUCUAUAUACCACCGUCGCAAGCUUACCGCAUAAGCGGCAAAGUGAGCUACAUAGUUUACACUAAAACGACAGGUCGAGGUGUAACCCAUGAAGGGCAAAGAUGGGCUACAUUCUCUUUUAGAGGAGAAUUUCACUAUGAAUAAGUGACUGAAGGAGGAUUUAGCAGUAAGAUAAGAAAAAUACCUAACUGAAUAAAGCAAUGAAGUGCGUACACACCGCCC